UGUCAGCGGUGAUGAUGACGACUUCGGUCUUUCCCCGACUCAUAAACUGAGGGUUUUUCAGUCACUAUCUCAUCUGAGCUGAAA